rnacentral:lncRNA from 10 species
AUGAACAAAUGCAAGGAAGUAAAUGAAGAGGAAGCGGGGGUCAGAAGGGGCAUGUUUUACAUGAAUAGAUACCAUGCAAAGGCCCUCCUGGGUACCAUCACCAGUGCAGGGCAGCCCGUGAGCCCCUGGAGGGAGGUCUCCCUGACACCCUGCCCACUCCUCCUGGGGCCGAGCAGGAGUCACAUCCAAGGGCUGGGUCAUUAUCUGAUACAUGAGUGGGUUGUGCGGAUGAGUAAACAGGGACUGACCCAGAGGUCAGGUGUAACUCAGCCUCAGAAACUGCAUGUGUCAAUAGGAAUCGAAGGGCCAAGGAAUGUGUUUUUCGUUGAUGUCAACUUGCUGCAAAGGACCACACCUGCUUCUCGACCCGGGAACGUGGGAAAGGGAAAGGCACGGCUUGUUUUGGUGGAGAUGGAGGAGCUGGUAACAGUGGAGGAAUGCCCUUCUUCUGAUUCACAGCGGGGAGGUGCUCUGGGCCCCUGCCACUGCCCGAGGACUUCGGGAGCUGAGAACAGCCCCCCUUCUGGUUUGAGGCCAACCUGUCUGUGUGCACCCUUAGCCUCACAUCAAUGGAGAAUCACCCGUCCCUUCCUUGUGCUAGAAACUUGAUGGCUGUAUUCCGUGAGCCUGCAGGACUCUUGCUCUCCUCCUUCUUAUUUAACUGCACCAGCUUAGGAGUGGCCUACAUGCUCCAUCUUCAUCUCCUUACCCCAUCUACGCCAUAGUCUACCAUGCUCUUGCUGAGGUUACUUACCUGGCCUCUUUCCUCUACACUCUUUUCCACACUCACUUGUCCAGGGGCACAUUCAUACCUACACCUGACUGUCCUACAGAUAACUCGAAAUCAAGAUGGCAGGGAAUAAACUCACCAUCUUACUCUAUAUGUCUGCCUGUCCUUCAGUAUUUCUCAUGUGGGAUAAGGGUGCUAUGAUUAGCCCACUUGUCCAAGACAAAACACCUGGAGGUCAUUCUUUUUUUUUCUUUUUUCUUUUCUUUUUGAGACAGAGUUUCGUUCUUGUCGCCCAGGCUGGAGUGCGAUGGCACGAUCUCGGCUCACAGCAACCUCUGCCUCCCCGGUUCAAGUGAUUCUCCUGCCUCAGCCUUCUGAGUAGCUGGGAUUACAGGCGCCCACCACAACACCUGGCUAUUCUUUUGUUUUUGUUUUUUUGUUUUGUUUUUGAGAUGGAGUUUCGCUUUUGUUGCCCAGGCUGGAGCGCAACGGCGUGAUCUUGGCUCAACACAACCUCUGCCUCCCGGGCUCAAGCGAUUCUCCUGCCUCAGCCUCCUGAAUAGCUGGGAUUACAGGCAUGUGCCACCACACCCGGCUAGUUUUGUAUUUUUAGUAGAGAUGGGGUUUCUCCAUGUUGGUCAGGCUAGUCUUGAACUCCUGAUCUCAGGUGAUCUGCCCACUUUGGCCUCUGAAACUGCUGGGAUUACAGGCGUGAGCCACUGUGCCCGGCCACCUUUUUGUAUUUUUAAUAGAGAUGAGGUUUCACCAUGUUGGCCAGGCUGGUCUGGAAUUCCUGACCUCAGGUGAUCCACCCGCCUCGGCCUCCCAAAAUGCUGGGAUUAUAGGUAUGAGCCACUGCGCCCGGCCUCGAUGUCAUUCUUGACUCCACUUGGGUGCCACAUUCUAUCGUUGAGUUCCACCUGCAUGGUUCCCUCGGCCAGGGAUAACGCCAUUUCUCACCUGCCUGACAGUUCCUGCAAAAUCCUCGCCUGAUGUCACUAUGGCUGCAAAGCUUCCCCAACUUCCUCCCUAAGAGAGACACAGUGGCGCCUUUUUUAUUUUUUAUUUUUAAGACAGAGUCUCGCUCUGUAGCCUAGGCUGGAGUGCAGUGACAUGAUCUUGGCUCACUGCAGCCUCCACCUCUUGGGUUCAAGCGAUUUUCCUGCCUCAGCCUCCCAAGUAGCUGGAACUACAGGUGCAUCGCACCACACCCGGCUAAUUUUGUAAUUUUAGUAGAGACGGGGUUUCACCAUGUUGGCCAAAAUGGUCUCCAUCUCCUGACCUUGAGGAGGCAGGUCUGAUUUGUCUGCCUCGGCCUCCCAAAGUGCUGGGAUGACAGGCAUGAGCCACUGCACCUGGCCCAGUUGUACUUUUUUGACAUAUGUAUGUCUUCUCUUAUUUUCCCCGUUACUCUAUUGCCAUCAUUUGUUUUUCUGCUGCUCUCACUUGCCAGAUAUAAACAUCCAGAGAGCAGGAACUGUUUUGGCACAAUUCAGUUUCUAGUACAGUGCAUAGCACAUAGUAGACCCUCAAUAAAUGUGUGGAAGUGAGCCCUCCAAUAUUCCAGGUAAGUACAAAGGGGCCUGGUUAUUAGGGCCUCUUCAUGGCUAGUGAUGGUCAAAGAGAAAAAUCGGGCAGCAAUCCAAGAAGCACGGUAGCCCUCUUUUCCCCUUUUCUAGGCAGCUGGCUGUGCCUGCAUUUCCUUUUGUGGCCAGAACAUCAGAGCUUGAGGUUUGGCUUUGUCAUUUCCUGACCCUCUGAAACUCUGACCCUCUGAGUUUCAUUUUGCCAAAGGACAAGAUCCUAGAGGAGAAUGCAGUCUCGAGCAUUCUGUGACCCUCAGGCUCCAGGGCCCUCCUCAUGCCCACCCUCUCUCAGUGGUGUGCAUGAGUGUGGCGUGUGCAAGCGUGUGCAGUGAGCCCUGGGUGUGCACAUGCUGUUUACAAAGGCAGACCAAGGUGCCCAGAAUGCCGUUCCAGCUGGCCAUGGCUAGAUGCAUCCGCAGUGGUGUUUCUUUAUUGGGGCGAUGGCUGAGAAAGGAAAUUGCAUUGUUUUGGGGCUGUCUCAGGGAGGACAUUUGAUACAGCCACAAAGUUUAGCCUUCCAAGUGGCCUCCACUUUCAGCCGGUGCAUUGGUUGGCAACUCCUGGGUGGGAGGCAGGGUUACUGGG